rnacentral:misc_RNA from 1 species
GAUGAAGAACGCAGCGAAAUGCGAUAAGUAAUGUGAAUUGCAGAAUUCAGUGAAUCAUCGAAUCUUUGAACGCACAUUGCGCCCUCUGGUAUUCCGGGGGGCAUGCCUGUUCGAGCGUCAUUAUAACCACUCAAGCUCUCGCUUGGUGUUGGGGCUCGCGGUUCCGCGGCCCCUAAAAUCAGUGGCGGUGCCUGUCGGCUCUACGCGUAGUAAUACUCCUCGCGAUUGAGUCCGGUAGGUCUACUUGCCAGCAACCCCCAAUUUUUACAGGUUGACCUCGGAUCAGGUAGGGAUACCCGCUGAACUUAAGCAUAUCAAUAAGCGGAGGA